rnacentral:rRNA from 1 species
CGCUAGCUACAGGCUUAACACAUGCAAGUCGAGGGGCAGCAUGGUCUUAGCUUGCUAAGGCCGAUGGCGACCGGCGCACGGGUGAGUAACACGUAUCCAACCUGCCGUCUACUCUUGGACAGCCUUCUGAAAGGAAGAUUAAUACAAGAUGGCAUCAUGAGUCCACAUGUUCACAUGAUUAAAGGUAUUCCGGUAGACGAUGGGGAUGCGUUCCAUUAGAUAGUAGGCGGGGUAACGGCCCACCUAGUCUUCGAUGGAUAGGGGUUCUGAGAGGAAGGUCCCCCACAUUGGAACUGAGACACGGUCCAAACUCCUACGGGAGGCAGCAGUGAGGAAUAUUGGUCAAUGGGCGAGAGCCUGAACCAGCCAAGUAGCGUGAAGGAUGACUGCCCUAUGGGUUAUAAACUUCUUUUAUAAAGGAAUAAAGUCGGGUAUGGAUACCCGUUUGCAUGUACUUUAUGAAUAAGGAUCGGCUAACUCCGUGCCAGCAGCCGCGGUAAUACGGAGGAUCCGAGCGUUAUCCGGAUUUAUUGGGUUUAAAGGAAGCGUAGAUGGAUGUUUAAGUCAGUUGUGAAAGUUUGCGGCUCAACCGUAAAAUUGCAGUUGAUACUGGAUAUCUUGAGUGCAGUUGAGGCAGGCGGAAUUCGUGGUGUAGCGGUGAAAUGCUUAGAUAUCACGAAGAACUCCGAUUGCGAAGGCAACCUGCUAAGCUGCAACUGACAUUGAGGCUCGAAAGUGUGGGUAUCAAACAGGAUUAGAUACCCUGGUAGUCCACACGGUAAACGAUGAAUACUCGCUGUUUGCGAUAUACAGCAAGCGGCCAAGCGAAAGCGUUAAGUAUUCCACCUGGGGAGUACGCCGGCAACGGUGAAACUCAAAGGAAUUGACGGGGGCCCGCACAAGCGGAGGAACAUGUGGUUUAAUUCGAUGAUACGCGAGGAACCUUACCCGGGCUUAAAUUACAGAUGAAUUACGGUGAAAGCCGUAAGCCGCAAGGCAUCUGUGAAGGUGCUGCAUGGUUGUCGUCAGCUCGUGCCGUGAGGUGUCGGCUUAAGUGCCAUAACGAGCGCAACCCUUGUUGUCAGUUACUAACAGGCUUCGCUGAGGACUCUGACAAGACUGCCAUCGUAAGAUGUGAGGAAGGUGGGGAUGACGUCAAAUCAGCACGGCCCUUACGUCCGGGGCUACACACGUGUUACAAUGGGGGGUACAGAGGGCCGCUACCACGCGAGUGGAUGCCAAUCCCCAAAACCUCUCUCAGUUCGGACUGGAGUCUGCAACCCGACUCCACGAAGCUGGAUUCGCUAGUAAUCGAACAUCAGCCACGGCGCGGUGAAUACGUUCCCGGGCCUUGUACACACCGCCCGUCAAGCCAUGGGAGCCGGGGGUACAAGAAGUGCGUAACCGCGAGGAGCGCCCUAGGGUAAAAC